rnacentral:rRNA from 1 species
AUGAGGAACUGGACGGAAGAUAUGGCUGUGAGAAGAGACAAAUACGACUAUGAAUAUGGUCGUGGUGUUGGGAUGAUUGAUGACAACAUUACAGAGGAGUAUAGGCUGAAAAAAAUUGCGGAAGAAGAAGCUCAAAAAAACAAGAAAGCUAGUAGCGAAAAAUCUAACGUUACUGGAACGAGGAAAGAGGGCAGUACCUCGGAGGCUUCGAGCCAGAAGCCUACUAUGGACCGGAUUUUGAGUGAGAUGAAUGAGCUUCGAAAGGAAAUGCUUCGUUUGCCAGAGUUAUGCGCACAGAGGAUGAUUGAGGAACUGAACAAAACCGGCGUAUCCUACAAACCCAGUAACCUGGAAGAGGACGAAGAGAAUUUGUACGGAGGCAGUGAUGAGUCUUCAAACGAUGGUGGACGUCCGAAAAAAGAGUUUGUAUAUCAAAAAGAUGAUUCAGACCGGUUCCGCACACCUUCCAAAAUGAAUUUGCAAAAGGAUGAUGACGGCGUUGAUGUAACUUCUCGUGGAAACACACCUUUUUACUGCACACCUGAGUACUGGGAUAGUUUCAAGGGUGAUAUGGAUGAUCCUAUCCAAGUACCAGAAGUAUCAGAUGAAAAAGCUGCCACAUCUUUAGAGACGGACGAAAUCGCAUCGCAUGCGUCGCUUGGUUCUCAAGGAGUACAAGAGGAAGUGGAGGAGGUUACUCGCAGGCGCAAGCGCAAAGGAUCACAACAUGUCAAGUCUCCUUAUGUGGUCCCUAAACCGAACAAACGUGCAAAACGUUCUGCCAAAGGAAAAUUGUUCCAAAAUGAUGGUGUUAACAAAUCCGGUGAUGAGUAUGAUGUGGUGAAAGCGUCCAUCAAGUACGUGCGCGCGCAUGAGCAUUCACAAAAACAUGCCAAAACAGAAAUUUUCAAUGAUGGCAUGGAAGAAGGUCUCAUUGUGCGGAGAGCUUGUCAGAUUAUUAACCAUGAGUGGCUAAGUGGCGACGUAAUUAAUGCAUACUCAUCAUUUUUGGUCGACAAAGUUAAUGAUGAUCGUUUCAUGUUGACAACUUGGAGGAUACAUUGGUUGCUUCACAUUAGAUCCGGAAAGAAGACCGCCGGUAACGAUUAUAAAGCAGAGUCGCAUAGUAAUGGACCCGUGAACAGAUGUGAGGACGAGUAUUUCUAA